UACGGAGGAUCCGAGCGUUAUCCGGAUUUAUUGGGUUUAAAGGGUGCGUAGGCGGCCUUGUAAGUCAGGGGUGAAAGACGGUAGCUUAACUAUCGCAGUGCCUUUGAUACUGCAGGGCUUAAAUGUACUUGAGGUAGGCGGAAUGUGACAAGUAGCGGUGAAAUGCAUAGAUAUGUCACAGAACACCAAUUGCGAAGGCAGCUUACUAAAGUAUGAUUGACGCUGAGGCACGAAAGCGUGGGGAUCAAACAGG
rnacentral:rRNA from 1 species